GAAAAGAUAUUAUAUUGAAAUUUAAAAGGAAAAGAAUCAAAAUAAAAACAAAAUCUAUUAAAAGAACACAAGAAACAAGUAUUUACAGCUUAAACAAAAUCAGAAUUAUACAAAAAUGGAAUUGAGAAAACACAAAUUUGAACAAGAAAUAUACAUAACAAAACUGAAAAGCUUAAAGCUAAAACUACAAAGCUAAAAGAAAAGGAAAAUAUGUUCAAAUGGGCAACAAAUCAAAAUUAAUCUUUUUAAUUUUUAUGAAAAAUAGCAUAUUAUUUAUCCUAUUAUUUACUAUGCUAGUUAAGACUAUGUACAUUACUAAUAAAAAUCUAAAACUACAAUUAAAGAGAAAAGUGAGGAAUUGGCUUAUUGGUUUUUUUCCAUUUUGCUCAUCCACUUUUUUCAGUGCCUCCAAGGUUGCAUUGAGAUGCUCUUUCUCAACUCUGCUCUACAACAAACUCAACUCUCC
rnacentral:lncRNA from 1 species